rnacentral:sRNA from 1 species
GGAAGGACCACGCCGCCACCGAUCGGCGGU